rnacentral:rRNA from 1 species
GACGAACGCUGGCGGCGUGCUUAACACAUGCAAGUCGAACGGAAAGGCCCUGCUUUUGUGGGGUGCUCGAGUGGCGAACGGGUGAGUAACACGUGAGUAACCUGCCCUUGACUUUGGGAUAACUUCAGGAAACUGGGGCUAAUACCGGAUAGGAGCUCCUGCUGCAUGGUGGGGGAUGGAAAGUUUCGGCGGUUGGGGAUGGACUCGCGGCUUAUCAGCUUGUUGGUGGGGUAGUGGCUUACCAAGGCUUUGACGGGUAGCCGGCCUGAGAGGGUGACCGGCCACAUUGGGACUGAGGUACGGCCCAGACUCCUACGGGAGGCAGCAGUGGGGAAUAUUGCACAAUGGGCGGAAGCCUGAUGCAGCAACGCCGCGUGCGGGAUGACGGCCUUCGGGUUGUAAACCGCUUUCGCCUGUGACGAAGCGUGAGUGACGGUAAUGGGUAAAGAAGCACCGGCUAACUACGUG